UACGUAGGGGGCAAGCGUUGUCCGGAAUCAUUGGGCGUAAAGCGCGCGUAGGCGGCCCGGUAAGUCCGCUGUGAAAGUCCAGGGCUCAACCCUGGAAAGCCGGUGGAUACUGCCGGGCUAGAGUCCGGAAGAGGCGAGUGGAAUUCCUGGUGUAGCGGUGGAAUGCGCAGAUAUCAGGAGGAACACCAAUAGCGAAGGCAGCUCGCUGGGACGGUACUGACGCUGAGGUGCGAAAGCGUGGGGAGCAAACAGG
rnacentral:rRNA from 1 species